UAGAUGCGAGAGUAGAGCAUAUCAAUAAGCGGAGGAAAAGAAACUAACAAGGAUUCCCUUAGUAACGGCGAGUGAAGCGGGAAGAGCUCAAAUUUGAAAUCUUCAAGGUUCUACCUUGACGAAUUGUAGUUUAUAGAAGUGUUUUCUGUUAGUGGAGUGGCAAAAGUUCUUUGGAAUAGGACAUCAUAGAGGGUGAGAAUCCCGUAUUUGGUCAUUCCUCCUAGCGUUGUGAUACACUUUCAACGAGUCGGAUUGUUUGGGAAUGCAGUCCAAAAUGGGUGGUAAAUUUCAUCUAAAGCUAAAUAUUGGCGAGAGACCGAUAGCGAACAAGUACCGUGAGGGAAAGAUGAAAAGAACUUUGAAAAGAGAGUUAAACAGUACGUGAAAUUGUCAAAAGGGAAGCGUUUGACACCAGUGUUGUUUUUCCGAAAAUCAAUUACGAAUGUUUUGUUUUUGAGGAGUUAUGACUUCAUCGGCUUGCUCCUUUCUUUAUGAAACUUUCUUAAUGCACUUUUCGGUUAACAAGUCAACAUCAAUUUCUUUUGUUGUAAAAGGGUACGAGGAAGGUGGCUUUCUUUUCGGAGAAAGUGUUUAUAGCCUUAUACCUCUACAAUCGGAGAGAUUGAGGUCUGCAGCGUAGAUCCUUCGGGGUUAGAUACAUUUGUGCUAAGUUAUAGCUUUUCAUAGACAACUUGUUGACUAUGUUUAGUCUUGUAGCUUACUCGCUUAUGCUAUUUUACCUACGCUUAGGAUGUUGACACACGCGCGUGCUCG
rnacentral:rRNA from 1 species